rnacentral:rRNA from 1 species
GACGAACGCUAGCGGCGUGCCUAAGGUAUGCAAGUCGAACGGACCCGCAAGGGUUAGUGGCGAACGGUUGAGUAACACGUAGACAACCUGCCUCGAAGUGGGGGACAACAGCGGGAAACUGCUGCUAAUACCGCAUGUGGCCAUCCAGCGCCUGUUGGAAUGGCUAAAGGCGCAAGUCGCUUCGAGAUGGGUCUGCGGCCUAUCAGUUUGUUGGUGGGGUAACGGCCUACCAAGACGACGACGGGUAGCUGGUCUGAGAGGAUGAUCAGCCACAUUGGGACUGAGACACGGCCCAAACUCCUACGGGAGGCAGCAGUGGGGAAUAUUGGACAAUGGGCGCAAGCCUGAUCCAGCCAUGCCGCGUGAGUGAUGAA